rnacentral:rRNA from 1 species
CCGCGGUAAUACAGAGGGUGCAAACGUUGCUCGGAAUUAUUGGGCGUAAAGCGCACGUAGGCGGUCUGAUAAGUCGGAUGUGAAAGCCCUCGGCUUAACCGAGGAAGUGCAUCCGAAACUGCCAGGCUUGAGUAUGGAAGAGGGUCUCGGAAUUCCCGGUGUAGAGGUGAAAUUCGUAGAUAUCGGGAGGAACACCAGUGGCGAAGGCGGAGACCUGGGCCAAUACUGACGCUGAGGUGCGAAAGCGUGG